rnacentral:rRNA from 1 species
AGGGUGUAAACGCUGCAGACUUGGUGUUGGGAACCCUUCGGGGUGGCUCAGUGCCGGAGAGAAGUUGUUAAGUCUGCUACUUGGGGAGGUACGUCCGCAAGGAUGAAACUUAAAAGGAAAUUGGCGGGGGGAGGCACCGCAACGGGAGGGAGCGUGCGGUUUAAAUUUGGAUUCAACGCCGGACAUCUCACCAGGGGCGGACAGCAGAAAUGAUGGCCAGGUUGAUGACCUUGCUUGACAAAGCUGAGAGGAGGUGCAUGGC